UACGUAGGGACCAAGCGUUGUUCGGAUUUACUGGGCGUAAAGGGCGCGUAGGCGGCGUGGUAAGUCAAUUGUGAAAUCUCCGAGCUUAACUCGGAACGGUCAAUUGAUACUGCUGUGCUAGAGUACAGAAGGGGCAAUCGGAAUUCUUGGUGUAGCGGUGAAAUGCGUAGAUAUCAGGAGGAACACCGGUGGCGAAGGCGGAUCUCUGGGCCUUACCUGACGCUGAGGCGCGAAAGCUAGGGGAGCAAACAGG
rnacentral:rRNA from 1 species